rnacentral:piRNA from 1 species
UAGAUAGGAGCUUAUCAGAGUCAC